rnacentral:rRNA from 1 species
GACGAACGCUGGCGGCGUGCUUAACACAUGCAAGUGGAGCGACGAACCAGGGCUUGCCCUGGGGCAGAGCCGCGAACGGGUGAGUAACACGUGGGUAACGUGCCCCGAUGACUGGGACAACCCGGGGAAACCCGGGCUAAUACCGGAUAUGCCCCCUGACAUCUGUCAGGUGUGUAAAGGAAGCUUCGGCCUCCGCAUCGGGAUCGGCCCGCGGCGCAUUAGCUUGUUGGUGGGGUAAUGGCCUACCAAGGCAGCGAUGCGUAGCUGGUCUGAGAGGACGAUCAGCCACACUGGGACUGAGACACGGCCCAGACUCCUACGGGAGGCAGCAGUGGGGAAUCUUGCACAAUGCGCGAAAGCGUGAUGCAGCAACGCCGCGUGCGGGAAGACGGCCUUCGGGUUGUAAACCGCUUUCAGUUGGGACGAAGGUCGACGCGUUAAUAGCGCGUUCGGCUGACGGUACCUUCACAAGAAGCCCCGGCUAACUACGUGCCAGCCGCCGCCGUAA